UUUUUUUUUAGUUUUUUUUUGUUGUUGU
rnacentral:sRNA from 1 species